rnacentral:misc_RNA from 1 species
UACGGAGGGUGCAAGCGUUGUCCGGAAUCAUUGGGUGUAAAGGGUGCGCAGGCGGGCGCCUAAGUCGGAGGUGAAAUCUUGCCGCUUAACGGUAAAAUGGCCCCCGAUACUGGGCGUCUUGAAUCUGACAGAGGUCGGUGGAAUUCGUGGUGUAGCGGUGAAAUGCAUAGAUAUCACGAAGAACAUCAGUGGCGAAGGCGGCCGGCUGGGUCAGUAUUGACGCUGAGGCACGAGAGCGUGGGGAGCGAACAGG